rnacentral:rRNA from 1 species
AUGCACCUGGUAGCUGGGGGUCACACGGCUGUGGCUGUGAAUGGCUCUAUCACUAAAUAAUUUGCCAAUGGUUGUCGCCUACGACAAGGUGACCCGGUUUUGCCCAUCCUCUUUAACUUUGUGGCAGAUGCCUUAUCUUGCAUGCUGGAUCACGCAGCCUCGGUAGGCCAUAUUUCUCCUGUUGUGUCGCACCUUCUCCCCCAGGGUAUCACGCACCUCCAAUACGCUGACGAUUAUCUUGGUGGAAUUGAACGAGGCAUGUCUUGCCAACCUUAA